CGGCGGACGGGUGAGUAACGCGUGGGUAACCUACCCUGUACACACGUAUAACAUACCGAAAGGUAUGCUAAUACGGGAUAAUAUAUUUGAGAGGCAUCUCUUGAAUAUCAAAGGUGAGCCAGUACAGGAUGGACCCGCGUCUGAUUAGCUAGUUGGUAAGGUAACGGCUUACCAAGGCGACGAUCAGUAGCCGACCUGAGAGGGUGAUCGGCCACAUUGGAACUGAGACACGGUCCAA
rnacentral:rRNA from 1 species